AUCAAAUGUUGACCCACAAACUUCUUGAUUUUUUUGGUUUUGAUGGCUUCCAUUUUCACUUAUAAACUGCUAUAUUUUUGUGUUGUUAGUGCUUUGUUUUUUAGAAAGAAAGAAGACUAAUUUUUUCGUAUUCAAAAGUGUGUUUGAAACAUGUUGCAGCUGAUACAUUUUAAGGUUUCAAUGUUUUGAAGAAAGAAAGUAAGCAUAGUUUUUCUUUUAAUUUGAUAUGAGAAAAAGGUUGCAACUCAAAAUGUGGUAUUUAAUAUAUUUGUUGGUUUCACAGUAUCUUUAAUAUUUGAAAUUUUCUAUUAGUUCUUAAGGUUUUGAUUUAUGUAACACAAUCUUUGCACAUUAUUUAUAUUCUUGAGGGUGAUUUUAUAGCUAAAUGAUAUAUAUAAACUUUGGGGUUGUUUCGGUAACUACGGGGUUCUUUCGCUCGACUUUUUAUGCAAGUAUUAUAUUUUGAAGCUUAAUUCAUUUACUUUUUAUAAUCUUAUUUAAUUUAAUACUUUUGGAUUAGCUUUUAUGGUUAUGUUUUCUGUUUCAGCAUCAUAUUAGGGACCAAAAUGGAAGCAAAUUUUUUAUUUCUUUCUAAAAAAACAACUAAUAGACUUUUGGGCUGUUUAGCGUCACUCUGCAAACGCCAAGUCAUGAGGUGCAUUUGUAGCCUCGAAACCAAUUGAAUUCACUGGCACUUCACUUUCUUUUGUUUUCAAUUUUUUUAUUUUGUUACUGUUAUUUAAAAAAACUUAAAAAGAAUACCAACAAAGCUUAUUCGUUCUGGUUAUAUAUAUAUAUUACGACUAUAUUUUUUUCUCUCUUUCGAACGCAUCGAACCCGACCGGUUUCCACCUGCCUUACAUUCUGUUUCAGCAUCAAUGAAGCUUUCUUUCAAUAUAAAGGUUGUUGAAAUUGUGAUCAAAACUAAAUAGAUCAGAUGUAACUUAUCAAUGUCUGAAGUGAGCUCAUGAAUAACGUCCAUUAAUGAUCAAGGUAAUACGCAUACAUGAAAAUUUGUUCAUCCACUUCUUCCUUCUCUGCCAAAACCACCAUUCUCCGCUUGAUUAAUUGGUGAAUCAGGUAAGAAAUCCUUCGGUCCUUAUUUUAUGAUGUAUAGAUGUGGCAUCGGUGCGUUGCAAGAGUUUGGGUUGUAAUUGGGAGCUUAUGUAUAUGAGUUAAGGUUAAAUCUUUAGUAUGAAGUUUGAGAUUUGUAAAUCACCGACAUGAAAUUCCUUUUUAUAUAUGAAUGGGUCAAUUUGAGUUGCAAUUUUAUCUAAGUUUUACCAAAAGUGUCAAAUAAUUUUUUUAAUAUGUCAAAUAAAUCAUAUAGUUUUUAUUACAUUCCAAUUCUCAAUUUGCUAUACAUAUACUUUCUGAUAAAUCAGUUGUUAACGAACUGUUGAUUCUGUAAUGUUUCACACUCAUGGAUUGACAGGCUAAAAAGAAUGGAAACCAAUUUGAUAUAUCAGAGUUUCGAGCUCAGCUUGAUGCAUUGGGUUUGAAAAUUAUAGACGUUACAGCAGACGGAAAUUGCUUUUUCAGGUUUUGAACAUGCCUCUCUGGACUCAUCUAUAUCCGUGAUGGAUAUCUUGAAAUCACUUUCUUAUUUAAAGACCGGAUUUAUGGUUGAGCUAAAUGGUAUAGUCUCAUUUAGGAAUACUUGGUACCUCAAGAAUACAUCAAUACAUUGAGGGAGUCAAUGUUGAAUAGAUGUCCGACAUCUUCCUUUGUUUUUUAUAGUAUUAAUCUAAAUCUGUUUCAUUUGAAAGAUAUAAUUUUGACUCGGUGGUGGGUCAAACUCAAGAAGCAGUGGCACAACAUGAAUAAAACAGACCAAGGGUGCCGCUUUCUCUGACGUAGAGAGAUUUAAAGAUAACUAACUGUUGUUAUAUGUGGACGGCAGCAGCGCUGACUAUGUGUUCUGGUUCAGUGAAGGCAGCCUAGCGGAGUUAGGGUUUGGUAAGAGAUGAUGUCGGCUGGAAGUUUUAGGAUUUUGAUGAUGUCUGGUUAACUCCGGUGACCUGAACCAGUUUGGCUGCGAUUUCGACAACAUCAAUCUGAAUAAGUAUUUGAAUCAGGCACCUUUGAUACAACACAUAUGUGUUGCUGGCGAUUGUUAGUUGUUUUGAAGUUUUUGUUAAGGUAUUGAAAUAGUCUUUGUUUUGAAUCUUUUGGAAACAUAUUUCAGAAUUUUGCAGUUAAAAAGUGACGAUGGCAGCCUAGAGGGGUUAAAGUUUGGUAAGAAAUGAUGGCGGCUGGAAGUUUUAGGAUUCUAACGAAGUCUGUUUAACUCCGAUGAGAACUCGGUGACCUGAACCAGGGUUACGCAUGAAGGAGAGGAAGAAGAAAGAUGAACUGUUAAGCUCUCAAGACUAGAAGGCACAACUGAACAUACCCGCAACAGAUACCCGUUACAGGACUGAGAUUAUCUUUCUUCUUCAUUCGAUUUCCGCGAAGAAGGAAUCAUGUGUUAACUGCAAACCUUAAUUGUCGAACUCUCCACCACAAACCGUUUAUUAUGUGAUACACAAAGGAGUUACAAUUGGUUGGAUUUGUAUUCGUGUCGCGCAACUUUAGGAUCGGUGGUUUCAAGGCAUUCUGGAUGAAGACAGUGAUGACAGGGGAGACUUGUGCUCUUUAACUUUUACAAGUUGACAGGGGAGACUUCUUGCUCGGGUUGUUACUGGUCUUGCACUAUUGUACACGGAGUUGUCAAAAGCGAGCGCUUUUUCUGGGCGACUCGCAUUAACUGCGCUUAUGGUUCGUAGUAUUUAUAGGGCUGUAAGUUUAAGUUCGUAUAUCACAUGUAAAUUCUGCCAAAAAGUGACGAAAAGAUAGCCGUCAAAAUGUAUAAAGUUGCUGGUGAAGAGAGGUUUUUGCUCUGGCCAGUUUGUAUUAGUUUCCUUCACAAGUUCACAACUUAAUCGUGGUGAUCCAUGGAGUGUGCAUAGAAUAUGAACCACACUAAAGACGACCGCAGACGUGGAUAUGUGUAGUGUUUUGUGUCCACAACUUAUGAUGCUUUUGGUGGCGUUGAUUGUUGGUGAUUGCGGCGGCAGAGAUGGUUGGUGUGGUUGUGGCGGAGAUGGUUGAUGGUGGCUAUGGUGGUGGCGGAUUAGCGAUGGUUUGAUGGUGGCAAUGUGGUUGACGGUGGCUGCGGUGGUGGCAAUGUGGUUGACGGUGGCUGCGGUGGUGGUGAUGGUUGACGGUGGUGGCAUUGGUUGACGGUGGCUGUGGUGGUGGCGUUCGUUGACGGUAGCUAAGGUGGUGGCUUCGUUUCAUGGUGGUUGUCGCAGAGGCGAUUAUAGUGAUUAUACUGACUGUUAAAAUGAGGCAAUACAAAAGGAAAAGUGCAGACAUCGAAAUAGUGGAAAAAGAGGACCUUUAUCUUGAAGAGCAAAUUCAAGAUUUUAUAGAUUGUAAGACAUAUUAAUUAGUAAUGUUCAAUAUUCUUUUUGUUUUUACAAAUUUUAAGUGGAGUUGUCAGGGGAGCUCUAGAGAUGGUAUGGUUUAUCUGACCCGACACGUUUUUCUUACGUUAAACUUAGAAUAAAGUGAUGCCAACACGUUUUUCUCA